rnacentral:rRNA from 1 species
GACGAACGCUGGCGGCGUGCUUAACACAUGCAAGUCGAACGGUGAAAGCGGAGCUUGCUCCGCUGGAUCAGUGGCGAACGGGUGAGUAACACGUGGGCAACCUGCCCCUCACUUCGGGAUAACUCCGGGAAACCGGGGCUAAUACCGGAUAUGACCUCCUUGGGCAUCCUUGGAGGUGGAAAGUUUUUCGGUGAGUGGAUGGGCCCGCGGCCUAUCAGCUGGUUGGUGAGGUAGUGGCUCACCAAGGCGACGACGGGUAGCCGGCCUGAGAGGGCGACCGGCCACACGGGGACUGAGACACAGCCCAGACACCUACGGGAGGCAGCAGUGGGGAAUAUUGCGCAAUGGGCGGAAGCCUGACGCGGCAACGCCGCGUGCGGGAUGACGGCCUUCGGGUUGUAAACCGCUUUCAGCAGGGAAGAAGCCGCAAGGUGACGGUACCUGCAGAAGAAGCACCGGCUAACUACGUGCCAGCCGCCGCGGUAA